AGCACCCAAACAGCGAACCCUGCAAUCUUUCACUAUUCUAUGGCUGUCAUUACUUUUGUUCCAAAUUAUUCAUGAUUUUCCACUGUAAACACCCCUUCUGUUCCUAAUUGUUUGGAAAUUUUCCACUGUGGGAAGAUCCCUUUUAUUGUAUAAUGGUUAUAAUUCUCUUUAAUGCUGCCUCUUUCGUUCCAAAUUAUUAGCACAUUUUCCUUUCUAACCACACAAAAACAACGAUUAUUUUAUUAUUGCUGGGGUAAUAUUUGAGUAUAUUUUCUCUCUGAAUUCAUUUUCUGUGCAAAUGCUGAGAAAUUGCUUGAUUGUGUUCUGGCAUAACCUUGUGGAGGGGAAGUGACGUGAAGCUCGCACCCUUUCAAAAUAACCCAAGGCUUUGAAUGUGUAGACAGCUUUUAAUUAUCGUUAAACAUCCUUUAAAAUAACAGAUGACUUCAGCGAAUUGCGAGUUGCAAAGUGUGAGCUUAGCGUUCACUAAACACGCUAUCUCCGGCCGUAUGUGCUUGCUUCAGCAUCUGUUUAUUUGGGCAAGGGUUGUGAUGGAAGUGUGUACUUUUACCCAGCUGCACAUCGCUUUCCUGUUGACAGGGUUGCUCACAUCAGCAGAUGGGAAUAGACUCAAACGCCUAAAACCCUAUUUUUCUACAUUUAAAGAUAUAUAUAGAAUUGUUUUCACUGCAAAGUACACAAUCUGACCCCAGCCUGCCUUACCCCAGUAUUCCUACCCCAAAUCUGGAGGAGGGCUGUGUUUCUGCGCCUUGUUUCAAUGUGAAUUCGUUCCACACAGAGACACAGACCAGAGGAAUAACGUAGCUGUGUUCUAACAAGUAAAGCCAUGGGAAAGGACAAUGACAUGAGAUGCAUUUCGUUGGGUUAUGCACAGAGCUUGGAAGUGCCAGAUACUGUCACAGUACUCUGCAGCAAAUUCAAUUUGAGAUGCCUUGCCUAUGGGCAUGUAAACUGCAGUUGAUGCAGACAUCACUCAUUCCCCAAACAGUAGGUCCACUUCUCUCACUGUUUGUUCAGAUCCAGUCCAUCCAUGACUUUUAGGACCACAAACCAAAUCGUGUUGGACUCAGAACUCCACAUUAUCGAUGCAUCAUACCGCUUUGUAAGACCACUAUCCUUCUCUUUCAGUUAUUUGUUUUGCUAUCUAUCACGUACCACACAAUGUGCAAGUAUGUCUUCAGCUAGCCUUGGGACGCAAGAGUUGUGUCUCGCAGUGCAGCACUUCAUGUCAGGCCGAGCCGCUCAGGUGAUAAGGCUGCGUGAGAGAAGUGUACUGCAGCCGGGAAGUUUGAGACAGAUUGAUCCAGUAUGGCCGCCCCCCACCCCAAAAGGAUAACCCUCUGCCAUGCCAAGGACAGGCCGGGCCAAGGACACCCUGGGGCCCUGGCGAUUGCAAAAUGGAGUACAGGAGAGGGAGAGAGCCCAAUCAUCCAUGAAGAUUACAACACCCACUGAGACAGCCGUGUGGAACGGGUCCCUGCACAACACCAGGAAUAGCGUGCACAACACCGCUCUCUAUCAUAGUGCCUUUCCUAAAACACCUUUGGCUGACCAGAGCCAGGGGUGUCUCAUAGUGCACGCCUCGUCUAACAGAAGGUUUAACUCACUGUCAUCAUGUAGGGUUGGAAACCCAGGGCACACUCCCACACACACCGUGGCUCUGGUUUACCUUGUGGGAUGACAGGAAUUAGCAAAACAAUUUGUAGUUUGAAUAACUUUUGAGUAUUUUGUAUUGCUAACUGUACUGAACAAUUGUUGGAUAUGUUCUAUAUGAUCAAUGACUUAUCUUCA
ensembl:lncRNA